UCCCGUUUCCAGGCUCCACCCUCCAGGUUCUCAUAGGAUGGGUCGCACUCUUCUGUCCCGAUGGACUCGUAACAGUGGUCGUCGAGUGGCCCGCCGAUCGCUUUGCCCUCCUGAAGGGCCCACGUCUGCGGUUUGACCACUACACUAAACCCCCCGUCCCGAUCUCGGUCCCGGUCGCCACGACCCAAGGUCCGGAAGCCAGGAUUGGAUGGGGGCGACCCUGGCACAGCUCUCUUCUUCUUUCCAGUUUUACAAACCUUUGAGUACAUCUCAGCCACCUGCAUCUCUUCACUCCAUGAUGAGAAUCUGGAGCUAAGACCAGAAGCAGGGCCUUUUGUUGUCAAAGCUAUGGGUUUGCACAUAGUCGGGAUGAAAGAGCCGCUAUUCUACUCUUUACAAACGGAAAUUCUGAGAUGCCUGCCGGUUCAGUCACCCAGAACGACCCCUUGAAGUUUUUACUCGGAAACUCGGAGCAACUUGAGUAACCCCUGGUUCGAAAUCCAAGACAACCACUUCCUGCA